UUGAUCCAGGCUCAGGAUGAACGCUGGCGGCGUGCCUAAUACAUGCAAGUCGAGCGAACGGACGAGAAGCUUGCUUCUCUGAUGUUAGCGGCGGACGGGUGAGUAACACGUGGAUAACCUACCUAUAAGACUGGGAUAACUUCGGGAAACCGGAGCUAAUACCGGAUAAUAUUUUGAACCGCAUGGUUCAAAAGUGAAAGACGGUCUUGCUGUCACUUAUAGAUGGAUCCGCGCUGCAUUAGCUAGUUGGUAAGGUAACGGCUUACCAAGGCAACGAUGCAUAGCCGACCUGAGAGGGUGAUCGGCCACACUGGAACUGAGACACGGUCCAGACUCCUACGGGAGGCAGCAGUAGGGAAUCUUCCGCAAUGGGCGAAAGCCUGACGGAGCAACGCCGCGUGAGUGAUGAAGGUCUUCGGAUCGUAAAACUCUGUUAUUAGGGAAGAACAUAUGUGUAAGUAACUGUGCACAUCUGACGGUACCUAAUCAGAAAGCCACGG
rnacentral:rRNA from 1 species